GGCUGCAGAAUUUAUAACUGUACAAAGGUAGCAUAAUAAUUUGUUUUUUAAUUAAAAACUAGAAUGAACGAUUAAAUGAAAUAUAAACUGUUUCAAUUAAAUAAAAAUUUAAAUUUUUAUUUAAGUUAAAAAACUUAAAUAAAUUUAAAAGACGACAAGACCCUAUAGAAUUUUAUUUAUUUUUUAAAUAUAAAAAUUAAUUAAUUUAUUUAAUUUUAAAAAAUAAAUUUAAUUGGGGUAAUUUAAAAAUUUAAAAAAUUUUUUUUUUAUAAAACAAUAAUUAUUGAAUAUAAUAUCUUAAAAUUUAAAUUAUUAAAAUUAAUUACCUUAGGGAUAACAGCAUAAUUUUUUUUAAAAGAUCUUAUU
rnacentral:rRNA from 1 species